rnacentral:rRNA from 1 species
UCAAUGAAUUUUCAAUAGCCGCAAUAUAUUUGUGCUAAGGUAGCAUAAUCAUUUGUCUUUUAAUUAAAGACUAGAACAAAAGAUUCAAUAUUUUUAUUUCUUUCUUAAUGAUACCCAUUAAAUUUAUCUUAAAUAUAAAAAGAUAUUUAUAACCUAAAAAGACGACAAGACCCUAUUGAACUUAACUAAAGUUUAACUGGGGAAGUAUUUUAAAUAAAAUUUUAAUUUACAAUCAACAAACCACCUAACAUAGUUAAAUAUAUCAAGUUACCAUAGGGAUAACAGCGUAAUAAUUUUUUAUAGAUCUUAUUCAAAAAAUAGUUUGCGACCUCGAUGUUGAAUUAAUAAUCUAUUAAAUGCAAUAAUUUAAUAAGAAAGUC